UAUUAGCCGGUAAAAAACACCCCAAACGGACGGGCUGUCAGCCGUGUAACGUACGUCUGUUUGUACGCUGAGUUCUGCCAAUUAUAGUUUCUACAGAAAUUCUUUACCUAAAUCUGAAGUUAAACGAAAAAUUACGUUUAUAAUUUUAAAGAAUGAAGUGUCAUUCAUCAUCAUGAUGGUCUCACAGAAAUGGAGAAGGUUGCUCAGCCUACAAGGUUUUUACAAGAAAGUAAUGAUGAUGAGAUACAUGAGCAAAUUAUAUUUUCUGAAAUAGAGGAUGAAGGAUUAGACGAGAGGAUCAGUGAAGUUGAUAGCACAACUCCUUAUCAAAAAGCCCAGAGAAAACAAAAAGGCUUAGGAUGAUAUCAGAACAGAAAUGUUCACUAUAGAACUGAUCAUGGAAGUAGAGAUACUUGUAGCAUACUUCGUCAUGCAAGAACCAUGCAUAUGCAAAAUAAAAGCUAUGGCAUUCUUAGUAAUUGUAGUGUGGACUGUGCAAUCUUCCUCAGAUUGUUCACCUAUUGCAGUUUGAAGAUACAAGCAAAGAGAAAUUUUCAAAUAAUGUCAUAUUUCUUUAAUCCUAUCCUUUCUGUUAUGCAAAAUAUAUGUAAUAAAUAAACCAUUGGGUGUGUAGU
rnacentral:lncRNA from 1 species